rfam:Morus notabilis contig7502, whole genome shotgun sequence.
GCCUCUGAGGAUGACCAGUAAAUAAACUUUCGUUCUACUGAGAUAUCCCGUGUGGAAAUUUUUGGAGACCUGAACUGAAGAGGC